rnacentral:rRNA from 1 species
GACGAACGCUGGCGGCGUGCCCAAUACAUGCAAGUAGAACGCACAGUUUAUACCGUAGCUUGCUACACCAUAGACUGUGAGUUGCGAACGGGUGAGUAACGCGUAGGUAACCUGCCUGGUAGCGGGGGAUAACUAUUGGAAACGAUAGCUAAUACCGCAUAAUAUUAAUUAUUGCAUGAUAAUUAAUUGAAAGGUGCAAUUGCACCACUACCAGAUGGACCUGCGUUGUAUUAGCUAGUAGGUGAGGUAACGGCUCACCUAGGCGACGAUACAUAGCCGACCUGAGAGGGUGAUCGGCCACACUGGGACUGAGACACGGCCCAGACUCCUACGGGAGGCAGCAGUAGGGAAUCUUCGGCAAUGGACGAAAGUCUGACCGAGCAACGCCGCGUGAGUGAAGAAGGUUUUCGGAUCGUAAAGCUCUGUUGUAAGAGAAGAACGGGUGUGAGAGUGGAAAGUUCACACUGUGACGGUAUCUUACCAGAAAGGGACGGCUAACUACGUG